rnacentral:sRNA from 1 species
CACUAAACGGGAUGGAAGCGGCAUCCUUUUGCUGUCAGCCUGAGCGUAGUCGAAGGCCAGCCAAAGAUAUAGCGGACAGCCCGGCUAACG